rnacentral:lncRNA from 1 species
AAUAUUAUCGGCUUCAUAAGUUCAAAAGUACAAGGAUUCUCGACAAAGUUUACAAAGCAGACAUAGUUAAAAAUUCACAAAGGUUCAUAAUUUACAGAGUCUCGCAGCAAAACGUGAACAGACUAUAUGUAUGAAGACAUAUAGCCGAGAGUAUACUUCUUGACUAAGUCCAAAAUAUAAACAUCGACAUCAAAAAGCUACCGUAUGUAAUAUAAAUACGGUAAAAAGAACAAUGUCAUCCAAAAUAAGUCCCCGCCAGCACCAGACCGAUCUUCCUCCUCCUCGCUUAUCCUGCACAUUUAGAAAUACAUGCAGGGCUGAGUACAAAGUACUCAGUGUACAUAUGCCGAAAAACAAAAGAAAGCUUGCUCUUAGAGCUAUAAAUUGAACUUGCCACAUUAAGCAACACACAGGGGUUUUAGUUAGAGAAGAACCUGUGCAUGCAAUUUCGCAAAUCAUAACAUCAUAAUAAAGUAACUGCGCAGUUUAAACAUUCAUUAUGUAUGUACCACAUCCACUACUCAUCAUUAAAGGUACUGAGAAAUAGGCCUCCCUCUCAAGUACCGUGACCGGCCGACCCGAUAGACGGCUCACAGUCACCUCUGUGCACAAAAUCCCGCUUGUGGCAGGACCGAAUUCAUCUCAACAGUAGAGGGUAACACACAAGUAAUUAUUAACAAAACUCGGCAAGUCAAUUAGUUUCAAGCAUAACAUUAACUCAAUUCAUAAUCAUAAAUAUCAUAUCAUUUAAGAAAGCUCGUAUAAUAGGUAUAUCAAAAUAAUGCCCACCUGACAAACUUAGCUUACUCUCGUAGUACUUGGGCGAUCUUACCUCCGUCCUCUGCUCGUAUCUUCGGAUGUCACAACGUCGGAGUGGUUCAUGGGAUAAGAUAAACCUCAGUUAGAAACUCAUUUACUAAGAUUCAAUCUCAUCUCAAACUUUAACUUAUCACUCAUCUUCUAUUUACCCAAAUAAAUCUCAAUCCCUAGGUAUACUUAACUCCUAAGGAUUCACAAGUCCUACUCUCGACUUAACACUCAACUCGGUUAAACUCAUAGCAAUCAAGCACAAUAAACAAGAUAAUCACAUAAGCAUAUAAAUUCACACAUAGACAUGCACGAACAACAUCAUUCCACUGAUCAAUUUAAGACUUCACCAGACUCGGUACAAACUCCACUGGAGUCUGACUAUACCAAUAAACACUUGAGUCUAGUUUCAUUCAAAAAAAGUAGGAUGAAAAAUCCAAGUAGUUAGGAGAUAGACUGUUUUCCUACAGUCUACCAUAUUCGGCAGUUUUGACAAUUAAAACUGAUUUUUGAAAAAUAGUAAACGUUGCCGAAAGUUGAAAUUUGGUGUUUAGCUAAGACACUCAUGCUUAAAAUAAAAAUUUGGGCUCCAAAACGUUAGGAAAGAUACUGAAAAGGUGACUCUAUUGGCUACCACCGAACAUUUCGCAGAAGUAGCAGUUUUAGUUUUAUUUAUAAAAAUAGUAAACAAGCCAAUGACUUAAUUUUACGUUAUGCUCAAAUCAAGACUCUCAUAUAAACCAAAUAAAAUUUCAAGACUUUUGGAUAAAAUCUCAUCGAAAACAGUAGGUCAGUAGCCUUUAAAAAGGUUCUCAAAUUAACUCCAAACUUGACCAUAAAGCAAAUAUACUUAAACUCCGGACUUCUUCGGUGAAAAAAAUUCUCAUAAAUUCAAAUUAAGCUCACAUAAUACACAAUAACAUAAAUACAUAAUCAUAUAACUCAAGAAAAUUCAAUCAUCGACUUCCCCUUUUUCUUCUUUCAUUCGGCCAACACAUAAGUCAUUAGGGGUUGGUCCGUUUCGUCUCAUAUCGCAUAUAUAAGCUCAAUUAAUCAUCAAAUAGCCAUAUAUAAACAUGUUCGACUCAUAACUCAUCUUAUAUAUAAGAUCUCAUGUAUGCAUGCAAACUAAACUCGGGAAAUUUUCACAAAUUAACAUCAUUAACCAAAUUAAUCAUGCUUUCUCCUUGCUAGUAGUCUAACUAACAUAUAAACAUCAUCAAUUCAAGUAUUUAUCUCAUUAAUCAAAAGUUUCCUAUUAUUAGUAAACUAAACUUAACCAAUUUUAGGCAUUCUUGACAAUUAACCAAAUUGAUCCCUAAUUAUCAUUUCUAUCAUGCUUAAUAACCAUUAAACUUAGCCAAUUUAAUCAAAUAACACAUAGAUCACAAAGUCCCAAUUUUUACCAAACUAAACUUUUUGAAAAUCUACAAACAUGCAUAAAUACUUAAUCCAACCUUAGAUUAAUCAAAUUAAAUCACCUAAUUGCAUUAUUAACCAAUCAAUUAAUCAAUUAGACCAUAGAGUAAGUUUUACCCAAAUCACAUCAAACUAACUCUCACCGAAUUUUGACCAUCAACUUCAAUCAUCAAUCUACUCCAUCAAAUAUCAUAUUAGUCAUCUCAUAAGCUCAUAUUCACCAUCAAUUCAUCAUUUAAUCCAUAGAUUCAAGAAUUUCUUAUUUAAGACAAACUAACCUAAAUGAAUUUUUUUUGAAGGGGAGAACCCCUAAAUUUCGAAAAUUACAAAGAAAAAGAAAAUGAUGUUUUGUUGCUAGAUCUAAUCCAUUUAUACACAUAUAUAACUCAAUCAAGCUUAGAUCUAAAUAGAUCUAGUACUUACUCAAUGAUUUAAAGAAGGAUAAAAAAACUUCUCUUUUGCUUCAAGCUUGAAAAUCCCUCCAAACUAGUUCUUGAUUCAAGGAAUAUAGAUGUUUAGGACUUGAUUUGAUGGAGUUUCUUGGUAUAGAAAGGAUCUUGGAAGCUUUGAGAAUGGUUAUCCAUGGUGGUAGGAAGGGAAAAGUGAGAGAGGUAAGAGAGAGGGAGAGUAGGCGUGAGAAUGGGGGGGGAGGGGAGAGAAAUUUUGUUUUUGUUUAAGACCCAAGCUUG